CGUACAUGUGCGUGGACGAUUUUGAGUGUCGCGAGACACACAUUGAACUAUUCGAUACUUUUCCGAAACAACUUUAAAGAGAGAGUUCAAAUCUGGGAAACCCGAAAGAUCGAACGGGGAGAUUCAUCGYCAGCGACGCAGGCUUCGCCGCGGCUCGUGAUGUCGGGACCUCGCGUCCACGGCACUCGGUCGCRGUGCAAUGUCCGGCGGCGCCGGCGUGCACUUCUCCCCUAUUAGGACGUCGCAACCCGUUGGGUGUCGGUCUAARGCCCGGUCGGCUGCCUGUCUCGGCGUUCUCGUCGGGGCAGACCCCCGGUUGACCAUCCGGCUGCCCGGCGGUACCCGCACGGUAUAGAGCCGCAUUGAACUGCGUCGGGCCCGCCGCAAGCGCGGUCAGCGAUUCCCGGUGKUCGGACCUAGCGCCGUCCCCGGGCCUGGCCGGCUGUCGGCUGGCCGUGUCCUCUGGCURGCUCGUUCGAAUYAUCAAAUACCGGUCGGCGACGCUAUUGCUGUGGGUACUUUCAGGACCCGUCUUGAAACACGGACCAAGGAGUCUAACAUGUGCGCGAGUCAUUGGGACGAGCAAACCUAAAGGCGAAAUGAAAGUAAAGGUCAGCCCAGCGCYGASCGAGGGAGGAUGGGCCGCGUCACGAUGCGGCCCCGCACUCCCGGGGCGUUUCGUUCUCACUGCAAGAAGAGGCGCACCCAGAGCGUAACCGUUGGGACCCGAAAGAUGGUAAACUAUGCCUGGUCAGGACGAAGUCAGGGRAAACCCUGAUGGAGGUCCGUAGCGAUUCUGACGUGCAAAUCGAUCGUCGRAWCUKGGUAUAGGGGCGAAAGACUAAUCGAACCAUCUAGUAGCUGGUUCCCUCCGAARUUUCCCUCAGGAUAGCUGGCACUCGCGUACAGAACGUACGCGAGUCUCAUCCUGUAAAGCGAAUGUUUAGAGGCCUUGGGGCCGAAACGACCUUAACCUAUUCUCAAACUUUGAAAUGGUGAGAUCUCUGGCUUGCUUGAACUAUGAACCCACGAGAUCUCGGAUCAGAGUGCCAAGUGGGCCACUUUUGGUAAGCAGAACUGGCGCUGUGGGAUGAACUAAACGCCGAGUUGAGGCGCCAAAGUCGACGCUUAUGGGAUACCAUGAAAGUCGUUGGUUGCUCAAGACAGCAGGACGGUGGCCAUGGAAAUCGAAAUCCGCUGAGAAGUGUGUAACAACUCACCUGCCGRAGCAACUAGCCCUGAAAAUGGAUGGCGCUGAAGCGUCGCGCCUAUACUCGGCCGUUAGCGGCAUACGAGGCGGCCCAGGCCGUCAUGAAGCCCUGACGAUUAGGAGGGUCGCGGUGGUGUGCGCAGAAGGGUCUGGGCGUAAGCCUGCCUGGAGCCGCCGUCGGUGCARAUCUUGGUGGUAGUAGCAAAUACUCCAGCGAGGCCCUGGAGGAUUGACGUGGARAAGGGUUUCGUGUGAACAGCCGUUGCACACGAGUCAGUCGAUCCUAAGCCCUAGGAGAAAUCCGAUGACGAUGUUAGUCUAUUUCUAUGCCUGACACGCGCGUCGUGUCGCCGGUGAUUGUGCGAACGUCGGGCCUUGCUCGGCGUUCCCCCCGGUGUGGGCGCGCGCGGUUURAAAUGUGACACACCCGUCGGGCGAAAGGGAAUCCAGUUCCUAUUCCGGAACCCGGCAGCGGAACCGUCGACGAGUCGGGCCCUCGCAAGAGAGUUBGUCGGGGUAACCCAAAAAGACUUGGAGACGCCGUCGGAAAAUCCGGAAAGAGUUUUCUCUUCUUCAUAAGCGUUUGAGUUCCCUGGAAUCCCCUAGCAGGGAGAUAGGGUGUGGAACGCAAAGAACACCGCAGUUGCGGCGGUGUCCGGAUCUUCCCCUCGGACCUUGAAAAUCCAGGAGAGGGCCACGUGGAGGUCUCGCGCCGGUUCGUACCCAUAYCCGCAGCAGGUCUCUAAGGUGAAGAGCCUCUAGUCGAUAGACUAAUGUAGGUAAGGGAAGUCGGCAAAUUGGAUCCGUAACUUCGGAAUAAGGAUUGGCUCUGAGGAUCGGGGCGUGUCGGGCUUGGUCGGGAAGCGGGUUUGGCUGACGUGCCGGGCCUGGGCGAGGUGAUGGUAAUAACCGGAUCCGAGCUCGGUCCCGUGCCUUGGCCUCCCGCGGAUCUUCCUUGCUGCGAGGCUUCGGCGGCGGUUCGCCGUUGCCGUCGUCCUCUUCGGCCGCCAUUCAACGGUCAGCUCAGAACUGGCACGGACUGGGGGAAUCCGACUGUCUAAUUAAAACAAAGCAUUGCGAUAGCCCUAGCGAGUGUUGACGCAAUGUGAUUUCUGCCCAGUGCUUUGAAUGUCAACGUGAAGAAAUUCAAGCAAGCGCGGGUAAACGGCGGGAGUAACUAUGACUCUCUUGUACAUAGCUCGCCGCGAUACAUAACGUGCGUGACGUGCACGCCUACGCUUAGUUUCAUCGCCCCAGCCAGGUGGUGCGUUGGUGAACCAACCAGCGAUUGAACCAAGUCUAACGACGUCGAAAGGCGGGGUGGUGUCCGACGGCUUGAUCUGCUUAUUGAGUCUGAAGAAUGAAAUCCGUGCUAAAGAAAUACCUAAAGCCCGGUGUCGAGCUCCGCUCAGCAUCUGGGCUUUCCUCGUUCGGCGUCUUUCGAACCUAAUUGUCAGCACCCGGUGCCGAGUCCGCUCGGAGCCGGGUAGUUCACGUUAGGGACUUUCGGCCACGUUGGUCGGGAGAAGCCCAUCCCUGGGUGGAGAGCAAGCGCGAGUGACAGGUUGGGCCAAACCAGUACACUCAACGCCGACACGCCUGUACGGCAUGAGGUGCAGGUCCCUC
rnacentral:rRNA from 1 species